rnacentral:lncRNA from 1 species
UUCCUUCUUCAUGAUUUUUGUUUUUACCACAAGUUUUUCCCCCUGUUUUUUUUAAUUCUCUAUCAGCUGUCUAAGGAAUAACAGAAAAAGCUUUGUUGUUAAGAAGUUAUUAAAGCAAGCAAAAAUACUAUAAUAGAUGCGGCAAUUAUAAUCUACCAAACCUAAAAAAAGAAUACUAAUACAUGACAUAUGAUUCACUUCCCAUAAAACUUAAACAAAUUUCCUUUUUUCUUCGCCAAACAGUACCUAUCACUUACAACUAACAAAAACUCAAAAGCUGUUUCUAGGAAAAUUAGCAGAAGAACUAAAAUUUUUGAGAAUGAGCAGAAGGAACAACUAAAACAACAAUGUUUCAGAACAUUGUUUACGUACUUGACUUAAUCCUCCAUUUGGAUGCAUGCAAAUUGCAAAAUAAAUCACCCCACACACCCCCCCCCCCCCCCACCAAAAAAAAGAAAUGAAAAAUAAUAUUAUCUUCUUGAUUGAGUAUCUUUCCCCUCCACCCACCAACAGGAAAGAAAGAAAAUAUACUAUCUUCUUGAUUAACCCUUUUCCCCUGAUUGUUUUGUGAAGUCAUAAGUUUUCAUGUCCCAAAAGAGUUGGCAUUGCCAUUGUAAACAAUCAAAAUAGGCCAAGCUCGCUCACCCAAACGAAGAAAAUUGUAGCUUGUAACUUUGGGCGGCAAUCAGUUGACUCAAAACAGAAGAAAUUUGAAAUUAUCACAACCAGCGUGAUGCGGCAGCAAAGGAUUCCCCAAAAUUUAAAUUUUAAAAGUUGAAUUGAAAAGGAGUCGCUAUUGGUCAUGUUGGAAGCAGGAUCAAAUGAUAGAAUCAAACAUUGUUUUAUAUCAGAAAUUCGGAGUCCAAAAAUGUAUAAGAUAGGAAAGUGAGAAGCACUUACUAUCUGGUGUGGGCUAAUUAUGUAAAAUAUCUUAGGUUGUACGUGUUAUUAAUUUCCUAUCUCAAGUUCAGGGUGCUAUAACUGCAGUGAUUGGAAUGUGGUGGUCAACAGGAAUUUGCAGGAUUGGAAAGUGGAUGAAUACGAGACUCUGCUACAGCUUUUGGCUACUAUCCACCUCAGCAAUCAAGAUGAUAAGUUAAUAUGGAAAUUGAAAAAAAAUGAUAUCUUCUCUAUAAAAUCUUUCUAACAGCCACCUGGAUGGGCACAGAAGAUUUGAUUGUACGGAUUUCCCUAUAAAACUGAUUUGGAAGGUCCAUGCUCCAUCUAGAAUUUCUUUUUUUGCUUGGGAAGCUGUGAAAGAAAGCAUAUUGAUUAUCGACAAUCUCAUGAAAAGCGGUAUAACAAUGGCCAACAGAUGUUUCCUUAGCAAAAAUAGUGUGGAAUCCAGCAACCACAUAUUGUUUCCAUGUCCUGUCACUUACAAUCUCUGGUCACUGGUCUAUGGGCUCAUGGGUAUCUGCUGGUCUAUGGCUGGGUCUGUUAAGAGUGAGUUACUGGCUUGGGCGGGACUGUGUAAUCGGAACAAAUGCUACAGAUUAAUCCCCACUAACCAUUUUCUGGGUUAUUUGAAAAGAAAGAAACACUAGGGGUUUUGAAGGGAAAUAAGAUAAUUUUGUUAGGACAUAAUCUUGAUAGCUUGGAUGAUUUUUGCUCCAUUAUAAAUAUGCUUAUUGACUUUUAAAUUUUUGUACAUGGAUAGCGCCAAAGGUUUCAUCUUAUACUUCUAUUUCAGAAAAAAAAAAAAAAAAAAAAUUUCCUAUCUAAAGUUCGAGUGUGUAUAUGUGAUAUCUAUAAUUAAAUAAAGGUCUAAAUUCAAUCCUUUACAAGACAUAUUGGGGUAGAAUAAAUCAAAUAUGUAAAAUAUAAAAUGUGAAAAAGGGAUGUAUUCUUUACUUCAUUGCAUGCUCUUUUCGAGCAGUGUUUCCCUGCUCUCUUCUAAGUAAAUCAAAAUACCUCACAGAACACAAGUCAUGAUAACUUUCGAAAAAAUGAAAUAAAUAACCAGAUGAAGGAAGAACUAAUAACACCACAACAAAGACAGUAUAGAACUAUGUAAUGGAAGGGCCGUUAUGGGAAAACACUGAACUAAGCUAGCUUUGGAGUUUCAAUGGACAAUUAAUACGCAUGUGAAACAGAAGGAGGACGAAAUUCAAACCAAGCACUAACUUAAAACAUAGAGCACUUCUAUUUUAGGACCUAAUCAGUUUAUAUCAACUAUUUAAUCUUGAAUUCCCUAGCAAGAAAAAAAUAAACACCAAAUGGAACAAUGACUGGCUAUCACUACCCACAUCAGCCUGCAGAGAGGAAAAAAAAAAAGAUUUAUGUCUACAUAUAUACUAUAAACAUAUAUAUAUAUAUAUAUAAACAUAUAUACAUAUUGGCUCAUCUAUCCCAUGCCGGAACAGUUCCCGAAAUCAUCAAGAAUCUAAACGUCUCCCAAGCUUAAAACGACAAUUCCUCAUGCAAACAAAACCUAAACUAGCAGUAAGGCGGGUAAAUGUUAGAGAACUGAGAAACGUAAAGAACCAAAACUUCAACUUCGUCUUCUUAAUAUAGGUCCAGUAGCCUCACAGUACCAAAAGAGAGUAACUAAGCACAAAUGCAAGGUAAAACCAGGGAUGAAGUAACAAUAUUCAAGUUACUCAAUCAAACGAGUCAAAUACAAUAAUUGGAGAAUGAAUUCAAUUUUUAAAGAAAACUAAAAGAGAAGAUUACAUGAAAAAUUACCCAAAUAGACUCUCCACUGACAGAUCCGCCUUUCAAUUCGAGCCCUGGCCCCCCCUAUUUCUUCGUUUCUUCUCCAAAACCAACGUGGUCCCGCGUUGGCGAACGUUCGCAAACGAGCUGCCCUGCUUCUGUCCCGGCUCUACAGAGUUUGGGGUAUAACAGAAAUUUACAAGAGUAUACUGUUAAGGGGAGCGUGGUUGUUUGGAGAAAAGAGAAAGGGAAGGGGACAGAUUCCACUGGUGCAGCUGUCGCUUCAAUCCCAACCUUUUUCCUCGUUCGUUGGAGAAGGGCCCAAAAUAU